rnacentral:lncRNA from 1 species
CUUGAACCCAGGAGGUGGAGGUUGCAGUGAGCCAAGAAUGUGCCACUGCACUCCAGCCUGGGUGACAGAGUGAGACUCUGUCUCAAAAAAAAAAAAAAAAAAAAAAAAAAAGAAAAGAAAAGAAAAGAAAGAAAGGAAAAAAAAAAAAGAAAAAAGAAAACAAUAUACAAGAAUAUCUUUGUGACCUUGGGGUACAGGAAGAGUUUUUAAGCAAGAUCCAAAAAGUGCCAAGCCAAAUAAAAGAUUGAUAAAUGUUUCUACAUUAAAAUUAAGAAAUCCUGGCUAUAAAAGGGCACUAUGAACAGAAUGAAAAGUCAAGCCACAGAGAUGAUGGUUGGAAUGCAUAUAAGCAACAGAAGGCUGAAAUCCAAAAUAAGCAGUAAGAAAGGCAGGCAACUGAGUCAAAAAAUGAGCAAUGACUUGAACAGGAAAUUCACAGAAAAUAUGGAAAUGCCAAAAAGCAUAUGAAAGAGUGCUCAAUUUUAUUUGUUAUCAGGGAAACCUAAAUUAAAAGCACGAGAUACCAAAUAUCUAAAACUAAGAAUGACAUUACUAAGUAUUGGUGCUGAUGUGAAGCAACUGGACCUCAUGCACUGCUGGGAGUGCAAAUUGUUAUGCCCACUUUGGAAAACAGUUUGACACUAUCUGAAGUUGAAAAUAAUGCAUUCUCUGUGACCCAGCUAUUCCAUUCCUAGGUAUAUACUUGUUAUGGUCUGAAUGUUUGUGUCUCCCUAAAAUUCAUAUGUUGAAAUCCUAACCCCCAAGGUGACAGUAUUAAGAGGUAGGGCCUUUGGAAGGUGAUUAGAUCAUGAAGUCAUAGCCCCCGUGAAUGGGAUUAGCACCCUUACAAUAAAAGAGGCUGAAGGAACUUCUUUGCUUGUUCUAGCAUAUAAUGACACAGUAAGAAGGUGCCAUCUAUGAAAGAAGCAGGACACCAGUCACCAAAUCUGCUGGUGCCUUGAUUUUGGACUUCUCAGCCUCCAGAACUGUGAGCAAUAGAUGUUUACUGUUUAUAAGUUGCCCAGACUAUGGUAUUUUGUUACAGCAACCAGAACCAACUAAGACAAUACCGAACAGAAAUGUGUUCAACUUACACAGGGGACAUGGACAAGAAUAUUCAUGGCAGCAUAAUUUGUAAUAAUCCCAAAGUGGAAACAACCCAAAUGUCCAUCAGGAGCCGAUCAUGGGUAGUAUAUUCAUAAAAUAGGAUAUUAUAUAGUAAUAAUGAAUGGACUAUAGAUAAAACAAACACAGAUAAAUCUCUCAAAUAAAAAGAAAAAAAAGAGAAAGAAAAGAAAAAAGUUAGGUACAUGGCUGGGCGCUGUGGCUCACACCUGUAAUCCCAGCACUUUGGGAGGCCGAGGUGGGUGGAUCACUUGAGGCCAGGAGUUCGAGAUCAGCCUGGCCAACAUGGUAAAACCCUGUCUCUACUAAAAAUAAAAAAAAAAUAAAUAAAUAAAUAAGGAAGGAAAAAUAAAAAGAAAAAAGCCGGGUACAAAAGAAUACACACUAUAUAAGUUUACAUGAAGUUCAAAAGCAGGCAAACCAAAACCAUAAUCUUUAGUUGAUAAAAGAACAAAGAAAAGGUAAGAAUUACCAGAAAAGCUAGGAUAGUGGUUACCUUUAACGAGUAAGGGGGAAUUCCUGACAGCAGAAAAUCCUGCAGGGGGCUUCUAGGAUGGUGGCAAUAUCCUAUUUUUGGCCUGGAUAAUGGGCACAUGGAUAUUGUCUUAUAAUAAUUCUGAGCCAGGCAUGGUGGCUCACACCUGUAAUCCCAGCACUUUGGGAGGCCGAGGUGGGAGGAUCACGAAGUCAGGAGUUCGAUACCAGCCUGACCAACACGGUGAAACCUUGUUUCUACUAAAAAUACAAAAUUGGCUGAGCCUGGUGGCGCACACCCGUAAUCCCAGCCACUUGAGAGGCUGAGGCAGGAGAAUUGCUUGAACCAGGGAGGCAGAGGUUGCAGUGAGCUGAGAUUGGGCCAUUGCAUUCCAGCCUGGACAACAAAAGUGAAACUCCGUCUCAAAUAAUAAUACUUUUUUAAGCCGUGUGUUUAUGUACCAUGCACCUUUCUGAAUGUGUUUUAUUCAAUUAAACUAUGUGUAAUUGCCAAUAUGCAGUCAUUUCUUUUUUUUUGCAGAUUGCAGAUCACAGAACUUUAUUAAGAUGAAAUCACUGCGAAUUACACAGAAGCUACCAGACUAAGCCAAAAUCCAUGAGGUUCAUGUGAACUUACAGUUACAGAAAUAAGAAACAAAUGGCAUAUCCAAAACCAUAAGGAAAUAUCCUGAUGCCCAGGAUCUCCAGACUCGGUCAGCAUCUUUCGCUCGUCCUCCAGUCCUAUGUCUGGCUACGGUUCUGGAUUCAACACGAGCAGCAACUGCGGCACCUAAUCCACUUCAGGAUCUAGAAGGACUUGUAAGAGUCACUCAGCUGAUAUCCGGCGAUCUGGCCUGAAGUCAAUAUGCCGUCAUUAUUAACCUACAAAAUGAGAAUUCAUGUGAUUCAACCCAGUAUUUCACACACACACAAAAUAAUUUACCAAGGCUGGGCGCGGUGGCUCACGCCUGUAAUCUCAGCACUUAGGAAGGCCAAGGCGGGUGGAUAACCUGAGGUCGGGAGUUCGAGACCAGCCUGACCAACAUGGAGAAAGCCCAUCUCUACUAAAAAUACAAAAUUAGCCAGGCGUGGUGGCACAUGCCUGUAAUCCCAGCUAAUAGGGAGGCUGAGGCAGGAGAAUCUCUUGAACCCGGAAGGCAGAGGUUGUGGUGAGCCGAGAUCGCACCAUUGCACUCCAGCCUGGACAACAACAGCGAAAAUCUGUCUCAAAAAAAAAAAAAAAAUUACAUUAAGUUAAGCAGCCAUUCAAAAUGAUGGUUGUGGCUGGGCACGGUGGUUCACACCUGUAAUCCCAACACUUUCAGAGGCCAAAGAUGGCGAAUUGCUUGAGUCCAAGAGUUUGAGACCAGCCUGAGCAACAUAGUGAAACCCCAUCUCUACAAAAAAUAAAAAACAAAAAAAUUAGCGGAGUGCCGUGGUGCUGUAGUCCCAGCUACUUGGGAGGCUGAGGUGGGAGGAUCACCUGAGCACAGGAGGUCAAGGCUGCAGUGAAACGUGGUUGCACCACUGCACUCUAGUCUGGGUGACAGAGUGUGACCCUGUCUCAAAAAAAAAAAAAGGAAAAGAAAAAAAGAUAGUUGUGAAAACUAUUAAUAGCUUAAUUCACCAUUUAUUCAUUAAGCAAAUAUCUCCUGGGGUCUUAUCAUGAACCAGGCAUAUUUCUUUUUUUUUUUUUUCCCGAGACGGAGUUUCACUCUGUCGCCCAGGCUGGAAUGCAAAGGAGCCAUCUCGACUCAUGGCAACCUCCGCUUCCCGGGUUCAAGUGAUUCUCCUGCCUCAG